AUCACCUGUGGGUCUUGUUAAAAUGAGAUUUUUGGUUCAGCAGGUCUGCCUGAGAUUCUGCAUUUCCAACAAGCUCUCGGAUGCUGC
rnacentral:miRNA from 1 species